rnacentral:rRNA from 1 species
GUUAUAUGGUCAAGUGAAGAAGCGCAUACGGUGGAUGCCUUGGCAGUCAGAGGCGAUGAAAGACGUGGUAGCCUGCGAAAAGCUUCGGGGAGUCGGCAAACAGACUUUGAUCCGGAGAUGUCUGAAUGGGGGAACCCAGCCAUCAUAAGAUGGUUAUCUUGUACUGAAUACAUAGGUGCAAGAGGCGAACCAGGGGAACUGAAACAUCUAAGUACCCUGAGGAAAAGAAAUCAACCGAGAU